rnacentral:rRNA from 1 species
GCCUCCCUCCGCCGCCAUCAGACUCCUACGGGAGACAGCAGUGGGGAAUUUUGGCGUCAAUGGGGGAAAACCCUGGAACGCAGCAACGCCGCGUGGAGGAUGAAAUAUACUUGGUAUGUAAACUCCUUUACGAUUGGGGAAGAGUAAAUGAACGGUACCCAUACGAAGAAGCCCCGGCUAACCUUCGUGCCAGCAGCCGCGGUAAUUC